rnacentral:rRNA from 1 species
AAAGGGUGCGUAGGCGGGUUGCUAAGUCUGGUUUUAAAGGUAGCUGCUUAACAGUUACAUGUGGCUGGAUACUGGUGAUCUUGAAAUUGUUGGAGGCAGCCGGAACGGGUCGUGUAGCGGUGAAAUGCAUAGAGAUGACCCAGAACACCAAUUGCGUAGGCAGGCUGCUACGACUGAUUUGACGCUGAGGCACGAGAGCAUGGGGAGCAAACAGGAUUAGAUACCCUAGU